rnacentral:rRNA from 1 species
GUGUGGAUAGGGGAGAAAUUCCAAUCGAACCCGGAGAUAGCUGGUUCUCCUCGAAAUAGCUUUAGGGCUAGCCUCGUAUUAGUUUAGCGGAGGUAGAGCACUGAAUUCCUAAGGGGGCGUCAAAGCUUACCAAGGGAUAUCAAACUCCGAAUGCCGCAUAAAUGAUGUACGGGAGUCAGACUGCACGAGAUAAGUUGGGCAGUCAAAAGGGAAAGAGCCCAGACCUACAGCUAAGGUCCCAAAGUGUGUGUUAAGUGGAAAAGGAUGUGGGAUUUCAGAGACAACUAGGAUGUUGGCUUAGAAGCAGCCACACAUUCAAAGAGUGCGUAAUAGCUCACUAGUCGAGAGGUCCUGCGCCGAAAAUGUCCGGGGCUGAAACACAACACCGAAGCUUAGGAAUGUAGUAAUACAUUGGUAGAGGAGCAUUCUUAAAGGAAUGAAGCAGUACCGAUAAGGAGCUGUGGACUUUUAAGAAGAGAGAAUGCCGGAAUGAGUAGCGAGAUGGAGGUGGGAAUCCUCCAGGCCGAAUAUCCAAGGUUUCCAGAGUAAAGCUGAUCUGCUCUGGGUAAGUCGGGGCCUAAGGUAAGGCUGAGAAGCGUAGCCGAUGGACAACAGGUUGAGAUUCCUGUACCGCGUAUCAUCAGAACUGUGGGGACACAGAAGGACAGCACAUCCCGGGAAUGGAAAGACCGGGGCAAGCAGGGUAGGAGUUAAGCUGGCAAAUCCGCUUAACAAUCCGAAGCUGUGAUGCGGAGCGAAUUUAAGUAGCGAAGUGUGCGAUUCCGGCUGUCAAGAAAAGCCGCUAUUGUGUGAUACGUGCCCGUACCGUAAACCGACACAGGUAGAUGAGGAGAGAAUCCUAAGGCCGGCGGGAGAAGCAUUGUUAAGGAACUCGGCAAAAUGACCCUGUAACUUCGGGAGAAAGGGUGCCUGGGAAACCAGGCCGCAGAGAAUAGGCUCAAGCAACUGUUUAGCAAAAACACAGGUCUAUGCAAAACCGUAAGGUGAGGUAUAUGGGCUGACGCCUGCCCGGUGCUGGAAGGUUAAGAGGAGGGGUUAGCGCAAGCGAAGCUCUGAAUUGAAGCCCCAGUAAACGGCGGCCGUAACUAUAACGGUCCUAAGGUAGCGAAAUUCCUUGUCGGGUAAGUUCCGACCCGCACGAAAGGCGUAAUGAUUUGAGCGCUGUCUCGACAAUGCACCCGGUGAAAUUGAAAUACCAGUGAAGAUGCUGGUUACCUGCGCCAGGACGGAAAGACCCCAUGGAGCUUUACUCCAGCUUGAUACUGGGAUUCGGUACUGCAUGUACAGGAUAGGUGGGAGACUGAGAACUAUGAACGCCAGUUUGUAGGGAGUCGCUGUUGGGAUACCACCCUUGCGGUAUUGGAUUUCUAACCUGCAGCCGUGAACCGGCUGGGGGACAAUGUCAGGCGGGGAGUUUGACUGGGGCGGUCGCCUCCGAAAGGGUAUCGGAGGCGCUCAAAGGUUCCCUCAGAAUGGUUGGAAACCAUUCGAAGAGUGCAAAGGCAGAAGGGAGCUUGACUGCGACACCGACGGGUGGAGCAGGUACGAAAGUAGGACUUAGUGAUCCGGUGGUAUGAAAGUGGGAUUGCCAUCGCUCAACGGAUAAAAGCUACCCUGGGGAUAACAGGCUUAUCACUCCCAAGAGUUCACAUCGACGGAGUGGUUUGGCACCUCGAUGUCGGCUCAUCGCAUCCUGGGGCUGUAGUAGGUCCCAAGGGUUGGGCUGUUCGCCCAUUAAAGCGGUACGCGAGCUGGGUUCAGAACGUCGUGAGACAGUUCGGUCCCUAUCCGGCGCGGGCGUAGGAUAUUUGAGAGGAGCUGUCCUUAGUACGAGAGGACCGGGAUGGACUGACCUCUGGUGUAUCUGUUAGGUUAUCAAGCCUAUGGCAGAGUAGCCAAGUCGGGACGGGAUAAACGCUGAAGGCAUCUAAGCGUGAAGCCCCCCUCAAGAUGAGAUAUCCCAUACGCAAGUAGUAAGACCCCUUGAAGACGACGAGGUAGAUAGGGCAGAGGUGGAAGUGCAGUAAUGUACGGAGCUGACUGUUACUAAUCGGUCGAGGGCUUAACCAA